AGCGAACGCUGGCGGCAGGCCUAACACAUGCAAGUCGAACGAACUCUUCGGAGUUAGUGGCGGACGGGUGAGUAACACGUGGGAACGUGCCUUUUGGUUCGGAAUAACUCAGGGAAACUUGUGCCAAUACCGAAUGUGCCCUUCGGGGGAAAGAUUUAUCGCCAUUAGAGCGGCCCGCGUCUGAUUAGCUAGUUGGUGGGGUAACGGCUCACCAAGGCGACGAUCAGUAGCUGGUCUGAGAGGAUGACCAGCCACACUGGGACUGAGACACGGCCCAGACUCCUACGGGAGGCAGCAGUGGGGAAUCUUGCGCAAUGGGCGAAAGCCUGACGCAGCCAUGCCGCGUGAAUGAUGAAGGUCUUAGGAUUGUAAAAUUCUUUCACCGGGGACGAUGAUGACGGUACCCGGAGAAGAAGCCCGGGCUAACUUCGUG
rnacentral:rRNA from 1 species